GGUUAAGCGACUAAGCGUACACGGUGGAUGCCCUGGCAGUCAGAGGCGAUGAAGGACGUGCUAAUCUGCGAAAAGCGUCGGUAAGGUGAUAUGAACCGUUAUAACCGGCGAUGUCCGAAUGGGGAAACCCAGUGUGAUUCGUCACACUAUCGUUAACUGAAUACAUAGGUUAACGAGGCGAACCGGGGGAACUGAAACAUCUAAGUACCCCGAGGAAAAGAAAUCAACCGAGAUUCCCCCAGUAGCGGCGAGCGAACGGGGAGCAGCCCAGAGUCUGAAUCAGCUUGUGUGUUAGUGGAACGGUCUGGAAAGUCCGACGGUACAGGGUGAUAGUCCCGUACACCAAAAUGCACAGGCUGUGAACUCGAAGAGUAGGGCGGGACACGUGGUAUCCUGUCUGAAUAUGGGGGGACCAUCCUCCAAGGCUAAAUACUCCUGACUGACCGAUAGUGAACCAGUACCGUGAGGGAAAGGCGAAAAGAACCCCGGCGAGGGGAGUGAAAAAGAACCUGAAACCGUGUACGUACAAGCAGUGGGAGCACCUUCGGGUGUGACUGCGUACCUUUUGUAUAAUGGGUCAGCGACUUAUAUUCUGUAGCAAGGUUAACCGUAUAGGGGAGCCGCAGGGAAACCGAGUCUUAACUGGGCGUUAAGUUGCAGGGUAUAGACCCGAAACCCGGUGAUCUAGCCAUGGGCAGGUUGAAGGUUGGGUAACACUAACUGGAGGACCGAACCGACUAAUGUUGAAAAAUUAGCGGAUGACUUGUGGCUGGGGGUGAAAGGCCAAUCAAACCGGGAGAUAGCUGGUUCUCCCCGAAAGCUAUUUAGGUAGCGCCUCGUGAACUCAUCUUCGGGGGUAGAGCACUGUUUCGGCUAGGGGGUCAUCCCGACUUACCAACCCGAUGCAAACUACGAAUACCGAAGAAUGUUAUCACGGGAGACACACGGCGGGUGCUAACGUCCGUCGUGAAGAGGGAAACAACCCAGACCGCCAGCUAAGGUCCCAAAGUCAUGGUUAAGUGGGAAACGAUGUGGGAAGGCACAGACAGCCAGGAUGUUGGCUUAGAAGCAGCCAUCAUUUAAAGAAAGCGUAAUAGCUCACUGGUCGAGUCGGCCUGCGCGGAAGAUGUAACGGGGCUAAACCAUGCACCGAAGCUGCGGCAGCGACACUAUGUGUUGUUGGGUAGGGGAGCGUUCUGUAAGCCUGCGAAGGUGUGCUGUGAGGCAUGCUGGAGGUAUCAGAAGUGCGAAUGCUGACAUAAGUAACGAUAAAGCGGGUGAAAAGCCCGCUCGCCGGAAGACCAAGGGUUCCUGUCCAACGUUAAUCGGGGCAGGGUGAGUCGACCCCUAAGGCGAGGCCGAAAGGCGUAGUCGAUGGGAAACAGGUUAAUAUUCCUGUACUUGGUGUUACUGCGAAGGGGGGACGGAGAAGGCUAUGUUAGCCGGGCGACGGUUGUCCCGGUUUAAGCAUGUAGGCUGGUUGUCCAGGCAAAUCCGGAUAAUCAAGGCUGAGGUGUGAUGACGAGGCACUACGGUGCUGAAGUAACAAAUGCCCUGCUUCCAGGAAAAGCCUCUAAGCAUCAGGUAACAUCAAAUCGUACCCCAAACCGACACAGGUGGUCAGGUAGAGAAUACCAAGGCGCUUGAGAGAACUCGGGUGAAGGAACUAGGCAAAAUGGUGCCGUAACUUCGGGAGAAGGCACGCUGGUGUGUAGGUGAAGUCCCUGCGGAUGGAGCUGAGACCAGUCGAAGAUACCAGCUGGCUGCAACUGUUUAUUAAAAACACAGCACUGUGCAAACACGAAAGUGGACGUAUACGGUGUGACGCCUGCCCGGUGCCGGAAGGUUAAUUGAUGGGGUUAUCCGUAAGGAGAAGCUCUUGAUCGAAGCCCCGGUAAACGGCGGCCGUAACUAUAACGGUCCUAAGGUAGCGAAAUUCCUUGUCGGGUAAGUUCCGACCUGCACGAAUGGCGUAAUGAUGGCCAGGCUGUCUCCACCCGAGACUCAGUGAAAUUGAACUCGCUGUGAAGAUGCAGUGUACCCGCGGCAAGACGGAAAGACCCCGUGAACCUUUACUAUAGCUUGACACUGAACAUUGAGCCUUGAUGUGUAGGAUAGGUGGGAGGCUUUGAAGCGUGGACGCCAGUCUGCGUGGAGCCAACCUUGAAAUACCACCCUUUAAUGUUUGAUGUUCUAACGUUGGCCCCUGACCGGGGUUGCGGACAGUGUCUGGUGGGUAGUUUGACUGGGGCGGUCUCCUCCCAAAGCGUAACGGAGGAGCACGAAGGUUAGCUAAUCCUGGUCGGACAUCAGGAGGUUAGUGCAAUGGCAUAAGCUAGCUUGACUGCGAGCGUGACGGCGCGAGCAGGUGCGAAAGCAGGUCAUAGUGAUCCGGUGGUUCUGAAUGGAAGGGCCAUCGCUCAACGGAUAAAAGGUACUCCGGGGAUAACAGGCUGAUACCGCCCAAGAGUUCAUAUCGACGGCGGUGUUUGGCACCUCGAUGUCGGCUCAUCACAUCCUGGGGCUGAAGUAGGUCCCAAGGGUAUGGCUGUUCGCCAUUUAAAGUGGUACGCGAGCUGGGUUUAGAACGUCGUGAGACAGUUCGGUCCCUAUCUGCCGUGGGCGCUGGAGAAUUGAGGGGGGCUGCUCCUAGUACGAGAGGACCGGAGUGGACGCAUCACUGGUGUUCGGGUUGUCAUGCCAAUGGCACUGCCCGGUAGCUAAAUGCGGAAGAGAUAAGUGCUGAAAGCAUCUAAGCACGAAACUUGCCCCGAGAUGAGUUCUCCCUGAGACUUUAAGUCUCCUGAAGGAACGUUAAAGACGAUGACGUUGAUAGGCCGGGUGUGUAAGCGCAGCGAUGCGUUGAGCUAACCGGUACUAAUGAACCGUGAGGCUUAACCUU
rnacentral:rRNA from 1 species